UACAGAGGUCACAAGCGUUGUUCGGAUUCACUGGGCGUAAAGGGUGCGUAGGUGGUGAGGUAAGUCGGAUGUGAAAUCCCCGAGCUCAACUCGGAAAUGGCAUUGGAAACUACCUUGCUCGAGGGUUGGAGGGGGGACUGGAAUGCUUGGUGUAGCGGUGAAAUGCGUAGAGAUCGGGAGGAACACCAGAGGCGAAGGCGGCGACCUGGACAGAUACUGACACUCAACUACGAAAGCGUGGGGAGCAAACAGG
rnacentral:rRNA from 1 species